rnacentral:rRNA from 1 species
CCUACGGGAGGCUGCAGUAGGGAAUCUUCCACAAUGGACGAAAGUCUGAUGGAGCAACGCCGCGUGAGUGAAGACGGCUUUCGGCUCGUAAAGCUCUGUUGGCAGGGAAGAAAGAUAGUUGUAGGAACUUGCCGUUAUUUGACGGGCAUUACUUAGACCGUCACGGCUAACUACGUGCCAGCAGCGGCGGUAAUACGUAGGUGUCAAGCGUUGUCCGGAUUUAUUGGGCGUAAGGCGAGUGCAGGCGGUUGAAUAAGUCUGAUUUGAAGGCCGUCGGCUCAACCGGUGAAUUGCAUCAGAAACGGGUGGACUAGAGUGCAGAAGAGGAGAGUGGAACUCCAGGUGUAGCGGUGGAAUGCGCAGAUAUAAGGAAGAACACCAGUGGCGAAGGCAGCUCUCUGGGCUGCAACUGACGCUGAGGAGCGAAAGCAUGGGUAGCGAACAGGAUUAGAUACCCUGGUAGUC